GAGCGGGAGAGGUUUUGAAAUCUGUUGCCAGGGAAGAACGCUUGGGAGAGUAACUGCUCUCAAGGUGACGGUACCUGAGAAGAAAGCCCCGGCUAACUACGUGCCAGCAGCCGCGGUAAUACGUAGGGGGCAAGCGUUGUCCGGAAUUAUUGGGCGUAAAGCGCGCGCAGGCGGUCAUUUAAGUCUGGUGUUUAAUCCCGGGGCUCAACCCCGGAUCGCACUGGAAACUGGGUGACUUGAGUGCAGAGGAGAGUGGAAUUCCACGUGUAGCGGUGAAAUGCGUAGAUAUGUGAACACC
rnacentral:rRNA from 1 species